GUGUGUCUGACUUGGGUGUGUGUGCGUGAGAGAGAGAGAGAGAGAGAGAGAGAGAGCGAGAGAGAGCGAGAGAGAGAGAGAGAGAGAGAGAGAGAGAGAGAGAGAGAGAGAGAGAGAGGAGUGGGGCAGGAGUUGUGUAAAAGGGGCUGAAGUCCUGCGCUGCUUUCUCCGCUGCUGCUGCGUUGAAAAGUGGCCUCACCACCACCACAUGUAUAAAAGCUGCCGAACCGUAUUCUGUCGUGGAUGUAAAAGAAACCAACAGAGAGCGACACACCCUGCUGAAGGUCCAGGACUCCGCCGAGCAGUGGGCGAGGCAGCCUGAACUCCGCUGGACCGUUCAGACGGGCUGUCCGCGCAGGAGCGACCCGGCCGGUGGUCAAGGAAUACGUGCAUCUAAAGCAGAAGAAGGGAAGAGAGGGAGCCUGUCUGUUUCAAACUCUCACGCUCGCUGGCUGACUCCCAGCGCUCCCUCACCCUCGGCCCCAAAUGGCUGACACACAGCAGUUCUUCACUGGCAAGCUUUAUGUUCCUGUACACAUGCUAAAGCUGCCAGCUGAAGAACUGUUCUGGUCAGCCCUGCACCGGAUGACUCAAGAAGAGGAAGCAGGGGUGGGGGGGGAACUGAGGAAGGCAGUGUUUCACACAGCCAGUAGUCUAAAGUGGACUUUAAUACCCUGCUGGAUCUGAGCCACCAUUGUUUCUAUUCUUGUUGUUAAUCACGUGUAAAAAGGUGUAUUUUUCCUUUGGCAGGUUAGGACAUUUAUAGGCUAUCUGCAGGUCUCAAAGAGUCUUAAAAAGAACUGAUGAAGAAGGUAUUAAAAAGUUUUAAGGUCUUGAAUAUUUUUCUCUAUUAACUGUAGGUGGUAAUGGUAAUUAUAAAAUGUUUUUAAGUGUGACUUUUCUCUGGAAAGUACCAUUGUUCUCAACCUCUGACUAUGUAAAAAUCAUUAAUUCAUUCAACAUUCCUUGACUAAUAAUUAUUUUUAAUUGUCAUUCAUCCAUCUGCUGCUUCUCCAGGCCCAGGUCAUAUUUUAAUGAUUAAUUAAUGAUCUUCUAAAGAAUUAUCGUUAUGUACUACUGAAAAAUAUAAAUGCUUUCAUACUUAAGUCAAUAUUACUGUGAAACUGGUGUGAAAUUGCUUUCUCUGUGGUACAGAAUUGGUCUUAGACUUAAAUUUUAUCUGGUUAACCCUGCAGAAACCUUGUUAAAUUUUGUUUUUUCUUACAAUAAAGAACAUCAUAUUUU